CACCAAGACUGCAUCAAGGUGGCUGCCUGGAAUGGCUGCUGGUGCCUGUCACUGUGUGGGCAGUUUUGUGGAAGAGGUGGCACCUAAGCUGGGCUUUGAAGGCAAGGUCUUCCUCGAUACCGCCCAGCUUCGGAGCCGUCUUUUGAAUGACGCGAUGUGCUGAUAUGAACACCGAGGAGAGCGGACAGGACCAGGAGACUCACAAGCAGCUCGCAGGAGAAGCCACCGAAGAGACCAAGAGCAUUAUCCUGGAGAAAACCAGACCUGGAGCAGCUCCACUCAUGUCGCGAUGAGCACUGAGCAGACGCUAUGUGGUUGGAGAGGUCUUGCAGUCAACCCCAAGCUAAAAACAUCUGGAGACAGAUGUUGAGGACCGAUAAUGCUCUGCCGAUGAUGCUCUGUGCCUUGUCUCAGCCCUGGGUGCAAUCUUGCCCUCUGAGAGCCCAACUCUAAGUGACUCUUCUUCAUCUCAUUGAAGUGGAAUCCAGAGCCCUGGACAGAAGAGGAGGAGGGGCCUGCAGUCCCUGGAAACACUCUUACUCCUGUGGUCACUAGGUACCUAGGUCGUGUUCUCUCAAAUACCCUUUCCAGUAGGAGAGAUGAAGUUGACAUUGGGCUUGGUACAUUCCCGUUGUCAGUAUCAGAUGACAUCCCAGAGACGAGGAAACGUUCUGUCCCCCAGGCCUUCACCUGAAGACUGGUUCAAAGAUCAGUCUGCAUGUUUUGGAAGUUCCAUCCCUGGGACCCCAAGAAAGACUUCUCUGGAAAGGAAGUGGGGGUUGGGAAGGGAAAGAAUAGGAAACAGUCUUUUCUGGUUAAUCUUCGGAUUUUAUGCAAUGUCUGUGAGACAGACACACCCAUGGAGCAUGUGCUGGGUUCCCGGCUCUGUGGAAAUGCAGCAUCAAGAAAGUGACAUUUCUUGACGGGUGAGAGGUAGACAUAUACACUACAGCCCUUGAGCCCUGGAAGGUCUGAACCAUAGAGGGCAGCAGGGCCAGCCGAAGAAUCCAGGAUGAGGGAGUGCUUGCCAAGAUGAGAUAGCCUGAGCUCUUUUAGAGGUGGGCUUCUGAGAAGUGUCGGCUGUGGUGCCCAAGUGCAAAGAUGUAUAAGGUGAGGACAGAGGACAUGAGAGGGUCUAGGUCCCGAGUGUUUUGCCUAAGGGUUAGUCCGUUGGCAGAGAAGGCUGUUGAUGGGAGUAAAGCUGGAUCCUGGAAAGUGCUGGCAUGGGCACUGGGGCUCAGGAUGGAAGUCCUGGAGGCUUUAAAGCAGGAACGAGUCAGGGGUACCAGCCACGUUCUGACGAAAUGUCAGUCCCCAGGACCUCUACCUCUUGCUGUCAUUUCAUGUCUCCUCUUUCUCGAGGAGUUGGACUAGCCUUCUCCUGUCAGAACAGCCUUGUCCUCUCCACACGUGGAGGAGGAAGUCCUGGCUUGGCCCGAGAGAGCCUCUAGCCGUUGGCUCUCCUCCACUCCCAGGCUGGGAGCAGCUGAAUCCCAGGCUAGGGCCAAGGCUGGAGUUGGCUGUUGUGUUCUCUGUUGGGGAAAGAAUCCACUUCUCCAUAGCCAUAGAGCAGAAAGUUCAACCUGGCAUCUUGGCCCCGGCCCUCCUGCUUGGUUGUGACUUUCUUCCUUCAUUCUCCUCCCUGCCUGUCUCUCCUCUGUCUUCCUCCUGGGCAUCAGCUAUCAAUGUCCUGUUUCUCAUCUCUCUUUCUCUUCCUCAUUCUUCCUUCUCUCUCUCUCAGUCUCUGUCUCUCUGUGUGUGCACAUGCUCGUGCGUGCAUGUGCAGGGAUAAUAUGUAUGUGGAUUCCACAGGUCAACUUUGGAUGCUGUUUCUCAGGAACCAUUCUUUUUCUUUUUUUUUUUUAAAGGCAGAAUUGUCCAUUAGCCUGGAGCUAGGUUAGCUGCCUGGACAACCAGCCCCAGGGAUCUGUCUGUCUCUGCCUUCCCAUAGCUGAGAUUACAAGGGUGCAUCACCAUGUCUAGCUUUUUUUUUUAAAUGGGUUCUGGGGAUCAAACUGAGGGCCCCAUCUCACACGGCAAACACUUUGCCUUCUGGACCAUCUCUGCAUCCCUCCACCCGCCUUUUAAACCUGACAACAUAGGUCCUUCUCUCCUCCCCCUGCCUCUGCCGGGUCCCACCGCUCCCAGGCCAUUUUAGAGGUGGGACUUUGAGAUCCGACUGACCCUUCUUACUGUGUAACCUCAAGCAAGCAGCUAAAUGUCCCCAGGUAUCUUGUUCUUCGUCUAGGAAAGAUGGGUGACCACAGAGACCUCACUGCACGGGAGCUGGGGUCGCUUAGCACUAUGCCCCAUCAGCGUGUAGGACUGAGCUGUCCUUGUUCUGAGCUGUCCUUCCUUUCACCAGAGCUAGGUGCCGAGUGUUUUUUGAGAAGAGGGUCUCUGGCACUUUUGAGGAGGCCAAGAGCUUCGGCUAGGAAGUGGUGGGAAGCUUAGUGGUGCGAUGCUCCUUGUGGGGCCUCCUUGGAUGCCGCUGGCUUUUCAUAUUGCUUCUGUGUCUCCCUUCCAGAAUAACAAGGGCAUAAAUCAGGAUCUGUCAGUACUCAUUUCUGUCCUCAGCUGGACAGCUGUCCUGCCCCGGCCAGGCUUCAUCCCUGUCUACAGAAGACAGGGUCCAUAAAAGCUGAGGGGGAUGGUGAACUGGAAUGAUGGAAGCCACAGAGCUGCGUGAGAAAGGGCCAGCUGGUUACGCUACAGUUAAGAAAAAUGCCACCCGUGUGAGAAUAGACUUAAGUUACCAGGGCCCUAACCCGAGGUGGCUGGCUCAGGGUGAGGAGCCUAGCAGAUGAAGGCUCAAUGAAAGAAAUGAGUGAAUAAAUGAAGAAAACUACAACUCUCUUGGUUGUUCCCAGUGACCAUCUCUCCCUUGCGUGUCAAAGGCCUUCUGGUACCCUGUGCUGAGUCAGGAGACUCGGCUCAUGUUGGCCUGGAACUCAUAUGUGGUCAAGGAGGAUCUUGAGUUUGGAUCCUCCAGCCUCUGUCACCCAAGUGCUGGGAGUACAGUGAUGUGCCACCACACCUGAUAUUUAUGGUGCAGGUUUGAAUCUAGGGUCUCACGCAUGCCAGGCAAGCACUGUACCGACUGAGUCACAUUCCUACCCCCCACUCCCUGUCUGAGUUUUGCCUGGCCUUUGUAGUUGCCUGGGCUGUUACAGGUUCCCUUUUCAUCCUCACUGGAACCUUCUGAGAGGAGAGAUGCUGGGGCUGAAAGAAUGUUCCAAUCCUGCCUCAGUUCGGCCCCAGAGUCAGCUGGAGGGAGAUGUCCUCAGCACGCAGUCAGCAAAUUGGCCAUCCUUAGGAAAGGUCAGCUGAAUCAGCCCCUCCCCCAAGUCCCCUCCAGGAAAUGUGCUUGCUAUUUUUAGAAGCCUUUCAAGCUCCUGAGCUCAGCAGGACACACUCUGAACCCUUGCCCAUUCAACCCCAGAUCAGCCCAGGCCAGGCCAGGCCAGCCCCUGCCCAGUUCAGCCCUGACACACUUUCUCACCUUUCAGGCAAGUUAGCAGCUGCUAGAGAGGAGAUGCUCAAUCCAGAGAGGCCAGGUGGGCAAAACCUGGAGUCCUCUAGACAGAACGAUAUGACCUGAGAGCUACUUAUCACCUGGACCUGAGAAAGCCCCGCCCACGUGUUAUUCCCAGCUGUGCAGCGGAUAAGUCAUACCUGGAGAUCCACUUAGAAGAGAAGCAGGAUAAAUAGAAAUUCAAUCAGCAGUCAAAAGUGCUGUACUCUGCUAAAUUCUGGGGAAAUUCUUGCAAGGCCUGGGAGAGGUUGUGGUGGAGAAUUUUGUGUUCCUUGGAAAGAGACACUUAGAGAGAUGAUGUCAUAGAAAUCAGUCUCGUAAUAAGGCUGCUUUUUUUUAAAGGUGGCUUUCCAUUUGAGGAGGGAGGGACUGGGAGGGCUUGGGACACGACG